rnacentral:lncRNA from 1 species
AAGUAGAAGUGUGGUAAGGCCCCCAAGUAUCCACAUGUAUUAAUUGGAAUGGUCUAGUAGUAAUGAUACUGCUGUCAUGAAAAGGAAGUCUAGUCUAUUUGGCCAUGGGGCAGACAGAACAAGGAAAAGGUUGUUUAGAAGCAAGUGGAAAAGACAAACCAGAAAUAUGUCUCAUAUUUGCAAAAGGAGUAUAUGCUAGUCUUAAAUGCCAAAUGUAAUUCAUAUCAAUGGUAACAACAUUAUUACAAAUGGAAUUAUUACAAUUUGAGGCAUGCCAACAAUUUUGCUGUCAGACACAUUGUCAUCAUUACAAAAAUCAG